rnacentral:rRNA from 1 species
AGCGAACGCUGGCGGCAGGCUUAACACAUGCAAGUCGAGCGGGCGUAGCAAUACGUCAGCGGCAGACGGGUGAGUAACGCGUGGGAACAUACCUUUUGGUUCGGAACAACACAGGGAAACUUGUGCUAAUACCGGAUAAGCCCUUACGGGGAAAGAUUUAUCGCCGAAAGAUUGGCCCGCGUCUGAUUAGCUAGUUGGUG